GGCCCCGUAGCUCAGGGGAUAGAGCGACAGCCUUCUAAGCUGUUGGUCGCACGUUCGAAUCGUGCCGGGGUCGCCA
rnacentral:tRNA from 1 species